GUAAGCCGCAUGGGUUUCUCGUGUUUUCAUAAAUCAUGUCGUGAACGUGCUAUAUCGCCAGGACACGAGUGCUUUUCCUCUCUUCUUUCACGUAAAAUUCUACUUAUCCAUAGUAACAGACACUCGCAUCGAAACCGGUUAAGUACGUGAAACAGUUUUAAGUACCAAUUAAUAAAAGAGUGGAAGAAUGAGCUUGAAAUUAAAGGUCAGUCGAAGUAAGUACGUUGCACUGUAUAAUGUAAUUAAUCAAUUAGUUACUCGUGCAUCA